GGUUAAGUUAGAAAGGGCGCACGGUGGAUGCCUUGACACUAGGAGUCGAUGAAGGACGGGACUAACGCCGAUAUGCUUCGGGGAGCUGUAAGUAAGCUUUGAUCCGAAGAUUUCCGAAUGGGGAAACCCACCAUACGUAAUGGUAUGGUAUCCUUAUCUGAAUACAUAGGGUAAGGAAGACAGACCCAGGGAACUGAAACAUCUAAGUACCUGGAGGAAGAGAAAGCAAAUGCGAUUUCCUGAGUAGCGGCGAGCGAAAUGGAACAUAGCCCAAACCAAGAGGCUUGCCUCUUGGGGUUGUAGGACAUUCUAUACGGAGUUACAAAGGAACGAGGUAGACGAAGCGACCUGGAAAGGUCCGUCGUAGAGGGUAACAACCCCGUAGUCGAAACUUCGUUCUCUCUUGAAUGUAUCCUGAGUACGGCGGAACACGUGAAAUUCCGUCGGAAUCUGGGAGGACCAUCUCCCAAGGCUAAAUACUCCCUAGUGAUCGAUAGUGAACCAGUACCGUGAGGGAAAGGUGAAAAGCACCCCGGAAGGGGAGUGAAAGAGAUCCUGAAACCGUGUGCCUACAAAUAGUCAGAGCCCGUUAACGGGUGAUGGCGUGCCUUUUGUAGAAUGAACCGGCGAGUUACGAUCCCGUGCGAGGUUAAGCUGAAGAGGCGGAGCCGCAGCGAAAGCGAGUCUGAAUAGGGCGUUUAGUACGUGGUCGUAGACCCGAAACCAGGUGAUCUACCCAUGUCCAGGGUGAAGUUCAGGUAACACUGAAUGGAGGCCCGAACCCACGCACGUUGAAAAGUGCGGGGAUGAGGUGUGGGUAGCGGAGAAAUUCCAAUCGAACCUGGAGAUAGCUGGUUCUCCCCGAAAUAGCUUUAGGGCUAGCCUUAAGUGUAAGAGUCUUGGAGGUAGAGCACUGAUUGGACUAGGGGUCCUCAUCGGAUUACCGAAUUCAGUCAAACUCCGAAUGCCAAUGACUUAUCCUUAGGAGUCAGACUGCGAGUGAUAAGAUCCGUAGUCAAAAGGGAAACAGCCCAGACCGCCAGCUAAGGUCCCAAAGUGUGUAUUAAGUGGAAAAGGAUGUGGAGUUGCUUAGACAACUAGGAUGUUGGCUUAGAAGCAGCCACCAUUUAAAGAGUGCGUAAUAGCUCACUAGUCGAGUGACUCUGCGCCGAAAAUGUACCGGGGCUAAAUACACCACCGAAGCUGCGGAUUGAUACCAAUGGUAUCAGUGGUAGGGGAGCGUUCUAAGGACAGUGAAGUCAGACCGUAAGGACUGGUGGAGUGCUUAGAAGUGAGAAUGCCGGUAUGAGUAGCGAAAGACGGGUGAGAAUCCCGUCCACCGAAUGCCUAAGGUUUCCUGAGGAAGGCUCGUCCGCUCAGGGUUAGUCAGGACCUAAGCCGAGGCCGACAGGCGUAGGCGAUGGACAACAGGUUGAUAUUCCUGUACCACCUCUUUAUCGUUUGAGCAAUGGAGGGACGCAGAAGGAUAGAAGAAGCGUGCGAUUGGUUGUGCACGUCCAAGCAGUUAGGCUGAUAAGUAGGCAAAUCCGCUUAUCGUGAAGGCUGAGCUGUGAUGGGGAAGCUCCUUAUGGAGCGAAGUCUUUGAUUCCCCGCUGCCAAGAAAAGCUUCUAGCGAGAUAAAAGGUGCCUGUACCGCAAACCGACACAGGUAGGCGAGGAGAGAAUCCUAAGGUGUGCGAGAGAACUCUGGUUAAGGAACUCGGCAAAAUGACCCCGUAACUUCGGGAGAAGGGGUGCUUUCUUAACGGAAAGCCGCAGUGAAUAGGCCCAAGCGACUGUUUAGCAAAAACACAGCUCUCUGCGAAGCCGUAAGGCGAAGUAUAGGGGGUGACACCUGCCCGGUGCUGGAAGGUUAAGGAGAGGGGUUAGCGUAAGCGAAGCUCUGAACUGAAGCCCCAGUAAACGGCGGCCGUAACUAUAACGGUCCUAAGGUAGCGAAAUUCCUUGUCGGGUAAGUUCCGACCCGCACGAAAGGUGUAACGAUUUGGGCACUGUCUCAACCAGAGACUCGGUGAAAUUAUAGUACCUGUGAAGAUGCAGGUUACCCGCGACAGGACGGAAAGACCCCGUGGAGCUUUACUGUAGCCUGAUAUUGAAUUUUGGUACAGUUUGUACAGGAUAGGCGGGAGCCAUUGAAACCGGAGCGCUAGCUUCGGUGGAGGCGCUGGUGGGAUACCGCCCUGACUGUAUUGAAAUUCUAACCUACGGGUCUUAUCGACCCGGGAGACAGUGUCAGGUGGGCAGUUUGACUGGGGCGGUCGCCUCCUAAAGUGUAACGGAGGCGCCCAAAGGUUCCCUCAGAAUGGUUGGAAAUCAUUCGUAGAGUGCAAAGGCAUAAGGGAGCUUGACUGCGAGACCUACAAGUCGAGCAGGGACGAAAGUCGGGCUUAGUGAUCCGGUGGUUCCGCAUGGAAGGGCCAUCGCUCAACGGAUAAAAGCUACCCCGGGGAUAACAGGCUUAUCUCCCCCAAGAGUCCACAUCGACGGGGAGGUUUGGCACCUCGAUGUCGGCUCAUCGCAUCCUGGGGCUGUAGUCGGUCCCAAGGGUUGGGCUGUUCGCCCAUUAAAGCGGUACGCGAGCUGGGUUCAGAACGUCGUGAGACAGUUCGGUCCCUAUCCGUCGUGGGCGUAGGAAAUUUGAGAGGAGCUGUCCUUAGUACGAGAGGACCGGGAUGGACGCACCGCUGGUGUACCAGUUGUUCUGCCAAGGGCAUAGCUGGGUAGCUAUGUGCGGAAGGGAUAAGUGCUGAAAGCAUCUAAGCAUGAAGCCCCCCUCAAGAUGAGAUUUCCCAUAGCGUAAGCUAGUAAGAUCCCUGAAAGAUGAUCAGGUUGAUAGGUUCGAGGUGGAAGCAUGGUGACAUGUGGAGCUGACGAAUACUAAUAGAUCGAGGACUUAACCAU
rnacentral:rRNA from 1 species